CUUCAAAUGAUCUCACGAUCUUCGACUUGAACCAUUCUCUUUGCUCUCUUUUUGAUAAUGGGGUUUCGUUGAAAACGAAGCGGUUAUGAAUUAACUGCAGAAAUUGGAGUUUCUUUGGUGGGGAUUCUGGAUGGGUUACCGGAGGAUUGCUGGCGCCUAAAUUUAAGCAUCUGGUUUGAACUUCGUGACAUUUUUAAUGAUGGUUCGGUGAAGCAGAUUGUAUUUGAAUCUUGAAACAUUGUGUUCUUUGUUGAAAAUGGAUUCGGCCAAGUGUUGAGGAAGUUGCUUCCACUUGAACUUUCAUUGCUCUGCAUUGUGGAUUUCUCCUGACUCUAAAGACGAAACCACCCUCAGAUGUUAGACGAAGAUCAAUCGUUUAAGACCUAAUUUGGUUAAUAACACAAAACCUAAUGAACUUAGCAUGGCCUCUUUCACCCGUUUCAAAUUUUAAAAUGUAAGGUGAAGGAUGGUUGAGCUAUGCUUGUAAUGGCUACGAGACAUAAUUCAUUAAUUUUAAAUAAGUUUUCAUCUAA